AUACGAAGGGGGCUAGCGUUGUUCGGAUUUACUGGGCGUAAAGCGCACGUAGGCGGAUUGAUUAGUUAGGGGUGAAAUCCCAAGGCUCAACCUCGGAACUGCCUUUAAUACCGUCAAUCUCGAGACCGGAAGAGGUGAGUGGAACUCCUAGUGUAGAGGUGGAAUUCGUAGAUAUUAGGAAGAACACCAGUGGCGAAGGCGGCUCACUGGUCCGGUACUGACGCUGAGGUGCGAAAGCGUGGGGAGCGAACAGGAUUAGAAACCCCGGUAGUCC
rnacentral:rRNA from 1 species